rnacentral:rRNA from 1 species
UACGAAGGUGGCAAGCGUUGUUCGGAUUCACUGGGCGUACAGGGUGUGUAGGCGGUUUGGUAAGCCUUCUGGUAAAGCUUCGGGCCCAACCCGGAAAGCGCAGAGGGUACUGCCAGGCUAGAGGACGGGAGAGGAGCGCGGAAUUCCCGGUGUAGCGGUGAAAUGCGUAGAGAUCGGGAGGAAGGCCGGUGGCGAAGGCGGCGCUCUGGAACGUUACUGACGCUGAGACACGAAAGCGUGGGGAGCAAACAGG